CGCAUCUGUGCAUGCAGCAUAUCAAUAAGCGGAGGAAAAGAAACUAACAAGGAUUCCCCUAGUAACGGCGAGUGAAGCGGGAAGAGCUCAAAUUUGAAAUCUUAAAGGGUUUCCCUUUACGAAUUGUAGUUUAAAGAAGUGUUUUCUGUUGAGGUUUUGGUAAAAGUUCUUUGGAAUAGGGACAUCAUAGAGGGUGAGAAUCCCGUAUUUGACCUUUACUUUCAACUUUGUGAUACACUUUCAAAGAGUCGGAUUGUUUGGGAAUGCAGUCCAAAAUGGGUGGUAAAUUUCAUCUAAAGCUAAAUAUUGGCGAGAGACCGAUAGCGAACAAGUACCGUGAGGGAAAGAUGAAAAGAACUUUGAAAAGAGAGUUAAACAGUACGUGAAAUUGUCAAAAGGGAAGCGUUUGACACCAGUGUUGUUUUUCUGAAAAUCAAUUAAAGAACUGUUUAUGCUAAGUUGUUUAGACUUUAUCAGCUAACUGUUUAGUUUUGAGCUUUUCUUUAAUGCACUUUUCAGUUAACAAGUCAACAUCAAUUUCUUUUGCUGUAAAAAAGCUUGAGGAAGGUGGCUUGAGAUUCGUCUUAAGUGUUUAUAGCCUCUUGCCUAUGCAGUCGGAGAGAUUGAGGUCUGCAGCGUAGAUCCUUCGGGGCUAAAUGCAUUUGUGCUAAGUUAUAGCAUUUUAUAGACAACUUGUUGACUAUGAUUUGUCUUGUAGCUUACUCGCUUAUGUUAUUUUACCUACGCUUAGGAUGUUGAACGCGCACAGAGUCUC
rnacentral:rRNA from 1 species